rnacentral:piRNA from 2 species
UGUUUGCAACUUUGUGACGCCUG